ensembl:lncRNA
CGAAUGGAGAGAAUCCGAUAGAAUACAGGAAGAUAGAGAGAUAUACUGUGUUUGCUUGCGUCUGUAUGUGAGGAGGGGGGGCGGGGAGUGACAGGAAUGAGUCAAAGUAAGAAGUUGCGAGGACGACUGACCAGGAGGAUGGAUGGAGGACAGAGGGGGGGUCAGCGUUAGGGUUAGGCUUAGGGUCAUGGUUAGGGUUAGGGGAAAAAAGAGUCAGGGUUAGGGGUUAGGGGUUUUGGGUCAAGAUAAGGGGUUAGGAUUUGGGGUUAGGGUCAGGGUUAGGGUUAAGUUCAGGGUUCAGGGUUUAGGGUUAAGGUUAGGGUCAGGGUUAGGGUUAGGGUUAAGGUUAGGGGUUAGGGGUUAGGGUCAGGGUUAGGGUGGGGGUUAGGGUCAGGGAUAGGGCCAGGGGGGAUAGGGUUGGGGUUAGGGUUAGUCAAACAGUGCACAGUUUGUCUGGGGUGAGUCAGUGAAAGGGAAAGAAAUAUAAAAGGAAAGAAAGAAAAAGAGAAACAAUGUCAAUAAAGAAGAGAGGCAGCCCCGCUCUGCACCACAGUGAGGACAUUUCUCCCGUGUUAGUUUUUUUUUCUGCCUUUUUUGUUUCAUUUGAAUUACAAAAGCCCCCCCCCCACAAGAACAACAGGUCCCGAGUCAAAGAGCAUCACCCCGGUGUGCAGGGGUUAGGGUUAGGGUUAGGGGUUAGGGUCUGCAGGGGUGGUCGGCGGCCCCCGGGCUACAGACCACCGCAUGAGAUCCCGGCCGCUGCAUGGAGUACAGACCACCUCAUGAGUUGGUCUGUCUGGAGUACAGACCACCUCAUGAGGUCCUGGCCGCUGCAUGGAGUACAGACCACCUCAUGAGUUGGUCUGUCUGGAGUACAGACCACCUCAUGAGGUCCAGGCCACUGCAUGGAGUACAGACCACCUCAUGAGUUGGUCUGUCUGGAGUACAGACCACCUCAUGAGGUCCUGGCUGCUGCAUGGAGUACAGACCACCUCAUGAUGUGGUCUGUCUGGAGUACAGACCACCUCAUGAGGUCCAGGCCACUGCAUGGAGUACAGACCCAACUUUGUGUUUGUAUAAAUACAUUUCUACAUUGAGUUGCUUCAAGUCAAGUCGUGAUCAUAGUUUUUAAAUAUAUAUAAUAUUCAUACAGAUAUAUAGUUAUAUCUAGAUCUAUAUUAUUAUCUUAUAUAGAUAUAUUUAGAUAUAUU